CGGGGGUUAACACCAAGUGGGUGUGGCUAUGCAAAUCAGGGGGUGUGGUUGUUCCGGGGGUGUGGCUUGGGGUGGCCCCACCCCCUGAUGUGGUUCCCCCCCCCCCCCAGCCACGUCCAUCUUCGCUCUCAAGGAGAUCCAGCUGCAGAAGGAGCCGGGGCUGCGCUCGGCGGCCCUGCCCCCCACAGGUUCUUCCGCCUUUCGGGUGCUCGACACCGAAUUCUGACAUUGAGCAGCUCCGGGAUCGCUGCUGCGCCCCGGACCCCAAAACCGGCCCGGGGUCACCCCAAAAUCCUCCAAACCUUUGGGGACACCCCAAAAACUGCGGGGGGUGGGGUGAGGGGGGGUCCUUGGAUUGGUGACCCCUCCCCAAAAAAUCCCCGCCCCUCCCCCCCCCGAGGAACUGCUGCUGGAUUUUGGGGGGUUCACGCGGGACCCCCGUUCUGGGGGGGUCGGGGGGGGGGGGGAGGGGGGGCCCCCUUUUUUUGGGGUCUCCCCUCCAUUUUUGGGAUCUCCCCCAUUUUUGGGGGGGUUCCCCCCCCGGUUUACGUCGAGUUUUAUUUUUUCAAGGCAAUAUUCUAA
rnacentral:lncRNA from 1 species